AAAACUUUAUAUUGUUUUUUAAAAAUUAAAAUUUUAUUCUAGAUUUGGCCUUAUAGACUUAAAUACAUUCACGAAGGUGUGUUUUGCACUCUUUCAUCUUCACAAAAGGAAGAGUAUCCAUUGUGCUGUGUUCACAAAUCCAAAGAAGUGAAGUGAAUCGGAGGAUCUUCUUUUGUUGCAUAAGAUGGCUGGACUUUUAGGAUAUAGGAAUCCUAUAGGAACCUUCCACCUCAGGCAAAGAAUUUGGUAGUUGCUGGGGUUUGAAUUUUUCAGGCUCAAUUUCUGGAUUUGGAUUUCACAUUGAACACCUAAGUCCACUCUUCAUGUGUGAUAUAUAUUUUCUUCUUAAUAUCCUGUUCCGUUGAGAAAAUUUAUUAUGUCCUACUAUGUGAAAACAAAUAUAAAUCUACAAUAGGUAUAUGGAGAUUUAGGCUUUAGACUCUAAAACUCGAGCUGCCAGCAGAACAACCAAGGCAAACCAGAUCAGUAAAAGGAGCCCUAAAAGGAACAGAGGUAGAGAGCAAAAUAAAAAGUAGAGAAACAGAGGCUAAGCAUCGCUGACUGCGAGGGCGGCGAGCGCCGGUGACUGCGAGGGCAUUUGUUUUGUGUUAAUUGAAACUAUUACUGUUUUGUGUUAAAAUUUGAUGGAAAAAAAAAAAAAAAAACUUGCAAUGUUUAUUUCAUGUUUUUCAGUUAAAUUUCUUACACUGAUGUCUUUAGGUUACUUAUAGGGCAUUUCAAAAGCUUUCUGAGAAUCUGAUAAAUAUGUCAAAGCAAAACGCUCCAUUCUACAACUAUUUCAAUUGCUUUGCCGUAGUUUGUUUUUGGAAAUACUCACUUUAACUCGUUCUCGAUCAUUGUGUUUUUGGCAUCGUUAGCUUGCUCCGUUCAUCGCUCUGCUUGUUUGUUUGUGGAAAUGUUUACCUCUUGUUUGCUUGCAUUACCCUCAGCAUCACAAUUUAGAAUCUGUGUUUAUAUUGUGCGAAAUUAUAUUGUGCGAAAUUAUGCUAACCCUUUUUC